rnacentral:rRNA from 1 species
GUCCUUUUGAUUAUAAUUUAAGGUCUAACCUGCCCACUGAUUAAUUGAAUGGCCGCGGUAUUUUGACCGUGCAAAGGUAGCAUAAUCAUUAGUUUUUUAAUUGUAAACUAGAAUGAAUGGUUGAAUAAAAAAAAUUCUGUCUCAAUUUAAUUUUUUUAAAAUUUUAUUUUUAAGUUAAAAAGCUUAAAUUUAGUUUAAAGACGAGAAGACCCUAUAGAGUUUUAUAGAUAAUUUACAAAAUUUUAUAAGAAUUUAAUUUUUUUAUUAAAUUAUUUAUUUAGUUGGGGUGACUUAAAAAUUUAAAGAACUUUUUAAUUUUGUUACAUUAAUGUAUGAUUUGUUGAUCCAUAAUUUAUGAUUAGAAGAUUAAAUUACCUUAGGGAUAACAGCGUAAUUUUUUUUGAGAGUUCUUAUCGAAAAAAGAGAUUGCGACCUCGAUGUUGGAUUAAAAUAAAUAUUUGGUGUAGAAGCUAAAAUAUUAGGUCUGUUCGACCUUUGAAAUUUUACA